rnacentral:tRNA from 1 species
GGAUUGUGGCUCAGUGGUAGAGCGCUCGCCUAACAUGUGUGAGGAGCCGGGUUCGAUCCUCAGCACCA